GUGAGUGUAGCUCAGUGGUAGAGCAUGUUCUUAGCUUGCACAAGGUCCUGAGUUCAAUCCCCAGUACUUUCA
rnacentral:tRNA from 1 species